rnacentral:lncRNA from 1 species
GCACCGACAAUCUGCCCAGUGCACCAGGCUAGGUAUCUGAUACAAAGAUAAUGAAAACAGUCUCUUGGAACCUAAUUGGGGUCCUCAUUUGACCAGGAAUUUCUUUCGUCCCGUUUUAAGCCAACCAGUUUUGUCCGGACAAGACAAAAACAACUUGGGCUGCUUUAGAGAAGCCCAGCUCAGUGUAGACAAUAGCUGCCCAGCCUCUGAAAGGGGCUGAUUGGAUUAUGUGGCAAAUGGAGGUGCAAGGAUGACUUGGACGGUGACAAAUGAAGUGGGCGGAGACCUGCUUUGAGUUAAUCCAGGCUAUUAGGAGGGGACCUUUUGUCUUCCAGAGACUGGCAGGAGCUUUUACCAGUGGUUUUUACAUCCUUAAUGUUCAGGACGAAUAAUUUAUGGUCAGUGAAAAUCCAGGCCCCAGUGAGAUUCGAGUGGGCUGUAAAAUCGAGAGUCCUGCUCCCAGUGAGUAAUGGUAGUGAAUGUUUCUGUCACUUUUUGCAACCGUCCAUUCAUUUGAUCCUCACAACUCCCUGUCCUGAGCCAGGACCGGCCACUGCCACUCCCAGGGAAACAGAGGCUGUCAAGAGGCUCCACAGAUUGGGCCCCACUGGAUCAUUGAACCCCUGUUCCCUGAGUUCUAGAGGAAGAAUUGUACCUGUCUCAGUCCCGGCCACCUCCAGAAGGCCUCCCUCUGCAUUUCUGACUUUGCUGUGCCGGCAGCCUGGAGCCUCCCAGGUCCCUGCUGUCAUCUUUUCUAGCCACUACAGUCUCUGUCUUUCCUUUCACAGCCAAGCUUCUUGAAAGGCCUGUCUACACUUGCUGUCUUCCUUCCUCACCUCCAAUUUCCUCUUCAACCCACUGCUUCCUGACUCGCUCUACUCCGUGGAAGCACGCUCACAAAGGGCUAAUCUCGGGCCUUGUCGAAGGAAGAGGCUGCAGACGUUAAUGAGGUUAGCUGCUGGAUUCCAGUAUUCGUCGCAUAAGGAUCCUUCUUUGUCUGCGAAGGAAAAACACACUGAUUAUCAUAAUGAGUUCCUGACCUGGCCAUCCCGGGGUGCCCUUGACCAGCCCCGUGUCUCCUCAGGGUGUCCCAGCACCAGCCUGGCACAGAGUGGGGCUCAGUUAGAGUAUGUGGGAUGUUGGUUUCGCCAGGCACGUGGGCCGUGGCCCGGCUGGGUCGGCUGAAGAACUGCGGAUGGAAGCUGCGGAAGAGGCCCUGAUGGGGCCCACCAUCCCGGACCCAAGUCUUCUUCCUGGCGGGCCUCUCGUCUCCUUCCUGGUUUGGGCGGAAGCCAUCACCUGGAUGCCUACGUGGGAAGGGACCUCGAAUGUGGGACCCCAGCCCCUCUCCAGCUCGAAAUCCCUCCACAGCCACGGGGACACCCUGCACCUAUUCCCACGGGACAGGCUGGACCCAGAGACUCUGGACCCGGGGCCUCCCCUUGAGUAGAGACCCGCCCUCUGACUGAUGGACGCCGCUGACCUGGGGUCAGACCCGUGGGCUGGACCCCUGCCCACCCCGCAGGAACCCUGAGGCCUAGGGGAGCUGUUGAGCCUUCAGUGUCUGCAUGUGGGAAGUGGGCUCCUUCACCUACCUCACAGGGCUGUUGUGAGGGGCGCUGUGAUGCGGUUCCAAAGCACAGGGCUUGGCGCACCCCACUGUGCUCUCAAUAAAUGUGUUUCCUGUCUUAAC